rnacentral:lncRNA from 1 species
GUGAAUCCUGGAUUACAACUGCAGUUUGUGCAAGAAGCAGCAGCACCUGCACUUCCACUUAGCAACCUCCGGCUUCACGCUCCUCCAGGGCGCAGAGAGCAUCAAAGCAUUAUCACCGACCCAACACACACCGGCGCUGCGUAGUUUCUGCAGCAGGUGUGGGGUGAAGAGUUGCCACACAGCUGUCUGACACCGGGUGUACGGCGUCACCCCUCACUUCCUGGACAAGGCAACAUUUUCCUAAAGGUUACAUUUCUGGUUCCAGCUAAGAAAGGUGAUGAAAAGUUGCUUUUUAGACAAAAUAAGCCCUUACCCUCAAAGGAAAGUUGCUCCUGAAAUACAAGCAGAAAUCAGUGAUGGAGUCUCACUCUAUCACCCAGCCUGGAGUGCAGUGGCGCGAUCUCAGCUCAACACAACCUCUGCCUCCUGGGUUCAAGCCAUUCUCCUGCCUCAGCCUCUGGAGUAGCUGG